rnacentral:lncRNA from 1 species
CAGCUCAGUUUGUCAUGUGUUUUGCUGCUGCUCCAGGCUGUUUGCUUCUGGAUUCUCAGCUCUUUCUCCUUCCAGACUGCCAUCUCUCCAUACAAAAAAAUUACAGCAGCAUUUAGCUGGUACUUCUUCCUCAUCAUUUUGUUCAACCCAUUACAAGCCACCCUUCUAAAUUUUUUACUCCCGGCCAGCUCAAUCAGUUUAU